ACUGAAGUUGAACUUAAUAACAUCUACUUUGAAGUAUACUUUCUAAAAGUACACAUUAAACAUACUUUACAUAAAGUACAAAAAGUGUAAGCAUACUUGCUUUAUACUUCAUAUACUUUAAUCAUAUUUCUAACACACUAAAGUAUACUACUUUUUUACCUGGGCGUGUUAUGGGUGUGUGUGUGUGUGUGU